rnacentral:rRNA from 1 species
CCCAGUAAACGGCGGCCGUAACUAUAACGGUCCUAAGGUAGCGAAAUUCCUUGUCAGGUAAGUUCUGACCCGCACGAAUGGCGUAAUGAUUUGGGCACUGUCUCAACAGCCCGCCCGGCGAAAUUGUAGUACCGGUGAAGAUGCCGGUUACCCGCGACAAGACGGAAAGACCCCAUGGAGCUUUACUGUAGCCUAAUAUUGGGUUUCGAUGUUGCAUGCACAGGAUAGAUGGGACACAGGGAAACAAGUGCUUUGGCAUUUGUGGAGUGGCCGUUGGGAUACCAUCCUUGCGAUAUUGGAAUUCUAACCUGCGGCUCUGAAUCGAGUCGGGGGACAUUGUUAGGUGGGCAGUUUGACUGGGGCGGUCGCCUCCUAAAGAGUAACGGAGGCGUUCAAAGGUUCGCUCAGCUUGAACGGAAAUCAAGCAAAAGAGUGCAAACGCAGAAGCGAGCCUAACUGCGAGACUGACGGGUCGAGCAGUAACGAAAGUUGGAGUUAGUGAUCCGGUGGUAUGUGAGUGGAAAUGCCAUCGCUCAACGGAUAAAAGUUACCCUGGGGAUAACAGGCUGAUCUCCCCCAAGAGUCCACAUCGACGGGGAGGUUUGGCACCUCGAUGUCGGCUCAUCGCAUCCUGGGGCUGAAGUAGGUCCCAAGGGUUGGGCUGUUCGCCCAUUAAAGCGGUACGCGAGCUGGGUUCAGAACGUCGUGAGACAGUUCGGUCCCUAUCCGGCGCGGGCGGAGGAUAUUUGAGAGGAGCUGUCCUUAGUACGAGAGGACCGGGAUGGACGGACCACUGGUGUAUCUGUUGUCGACCAACGGCAUGGCAGAGUAGCCAAGUCCGGAAGGGAUAAACGCUGAAGGCAUCUAAGCGUGAAGCCCCCCCCAAGAUGAGAUGUCCCUGUCUAUAAGACAGUAAGACCCCUGAAAGAGUAUCAGGUAGAUAGGGCAGAGGUGGAAGCACGGUAACGUGUGGAGCUGACUGUUACUAAUCGAUCGAGGGCUUGACCAA